rnacentral:rRNA from 1 species
GAUGAACGCUGGCGGCGUGCUUAACACAUGCAAGUCGAACGAGAAGUGAAGACGGAAACCUUCGGGCGGAAGGCUUUAUUUCGAGUGGCGGACGGGUGAGUAACGCGUGGGUAACCUGCCUCAUACAGGGGGAUAACAGUUGGAAACGACUGUUAAUACCGCAUAAGACCACAGCACCGCAUGGUGCGGGGGUAAAAGCUCCGGGGGUAUGAGAUGGACCCGCGUCCGAUUAGCCAGUUGGCGGGGUAACGGCCCACCAAAGCGACGAUGGAUACCCGAUCUGAGAGGAUGACCGGCAACAUUGGGAAUGAGACACGGCCCAAACUCCUACGGGAGGCAGCAGUGGGGAAUAUUGCACAAUGGGGGAAACCCUGAUGCAGCGACGCCGCGUGAGUGAAGAAGUAUUUCGGUAUGUAAAGCUCUAUCAGCAGGGAAGAAAAUGACGGUACCUGAGUAAGAAGCCCCGGCUAACUACGUG